UGCAGGCUGCAACCCGCCUGCAUGAAGUUGGAAUCGCUAGUAAUCGCGGAUCAGCAUGCCGCGGUGAAUACGUUCCCGGGCCUUGUACACAUCGCCCGUCACACCAUGAGAGUCGGGAACACCCGAAGUCCGUAGCCUGACCGCAAGGGGGGCGCGGCCGAAGGUGGGUUCGAUAAUUGGGGUGAAGUCGUAACAAGGUAAC
rnacentral:rRNA from 1 species